rnacentral:misc_RNA from 1 species
UACUCUCACACUCUCUGAUCCUUUGGAUUGGGAGUGGUGGACUUGGGUGUUGCUGCUGCGCGGUGGCUCACCUCAAAUGCAUUAGUGCAACUCCUAGUUGGACAUAGUACGGCGUGAUAAGUGUCUUCGCCGGCGCCUCACUUGAGGGUGGCCGAUUGGGAGCUCUGUGCUUCAAACCGUCUUCGGACAAUCUCUGACA